GGGCCCGCACAAGCGGUGGAGCAUGUGGUUUAAUUCGAUGAUACGCGAGGAACCUUACCAGGACUUAAAUGCAUAACGAUCGGUUGAGAAAUCAACUUUUCUUCGGACGGUAUGCAAGGUGCUGCAUGGUUGUCGUCAGCUCGUGCCGUGAGGUGUCAGGUUAAGUCCUAUAACGAGCGCAACCCCUAUUCUUAGUUGCCAGCGGAUAAUGCCGGGGACUCUAAGAAAACUGCCAGCGCAAGCUGUGAGGAAGGUGGGGAUGACGUCAAAUCAUCACGGCCCUUACGUCCUGGGCCACACACGUGCUACAAUGGUAGGUACAAAGGGCAGCCACUUGGCGACAAGGAGCUAAUCUCUAAAACCUAUCUCAGUUCGGAUUGGAGUCUGCAACUCGACUCUAUGAAGCUGGAAUCGCUAGUAAUCGCGCAUC
rnacentral:rRNA from 1 species